UCCCUGGUGGUCCAGUGAUUAAGACUCCGUGCUUCCAAUGCAGGGGUCUCGGGUUCAAUCCCUGGCCAGGGAA
rfam:TPA: Bos taurus chromosome 9, whole genome shotgun sequence.